GCGUUUAAUGAUUAACCUCGAAAAUUGUCGUCUAAUAAUUACACGUUCGUGGUCCCUGUAGCACAGUCACUGCGCCUUUUAAUAAUUCUUUUGCUUAAUGAGGUUGAGAGAUUCAGCAAGUUUUAUAUGGGAAGAGUUUGAUAUUUUCCGCACUUGCUACACAUUUGAAUUUUGAACUGUGCUGAAAAUGACAGCUGUAGUAUUCGGAAGAUCUUGUAGCUACGAGUACGAACCGGGAUCAUUUAUAGGAAGAGGAGAAAAUGGAGUUGUUUACAAAGCGGCCAUUACGGAGCAAGGUGAUUUCACUGGAAGCAGGGAGGUAGCGGUGAAGGUUAUAUAUUAUAAACGCGAGCAUCCGGGCUUCCGUGAACAAAGAUUCGCGUCGAAAAUGAAAAAAAUCCUAGAACUGGAUCAUCCCAAUCUAGUGAAGUAUCACAAGAUAACGGUGUUUCGGGCGAGGCGUUACUGGAACAUCGAACUGCUCAUGGAUUACUUUCCGGACGGUAACUUGGACGAAUUACUUCGUCGAAUCCAAAAGAAAGGCCGUCCACUUCACCCGGUAAAAGCCAUCUCGUAUGCAGUGGACAUUACGGAGGGUCUGAAAUAUUUGCACGAGCGAAAAAUUAUACAUUGUCAUUUAAAGCCUGAAAGUAUCCUAGUGGACAGUAGUGAACGACUUCUGAUUUGCGAUUACGAGGACUUUGCUCAACUUCGAGGCGACAUAACUCACAUGAUGGGAACCGCUCGCUACAUGUCACCAGAAAUGCUUGUAUGCGGAGUGCUUGAAUCAUCAGAGGGACCCGUUGGAAGAAAAACGGACAUUUGGAGUUUGGGCUGCAUUCUUCUUCAGCUUGCACAGCUAACUGUGACUGUGUCAACGAGUACCCACUGGUCCCUUGAAAUAGACGGACACGUACUGCAAAGAACUGAUCCAAAAAGUCCCUCGUUGUGUGUCAUUGAGGGCUAUGUCCCCGUUGUUGAUGAGAGUAUCCCACCGGAAGUGGCUGCAUGGGUUAGGCAAUGUUUACGCAUCAAUAGCAAUGAGAGAAUCAGUGCAAGUCAGCUUCUGGAUUUGAUAAGAUACAGCCAGGCCAGUUCGUUAAGUGUAACCACCCGAUUUCCGGAAACCAUCACAAAUGCACAGCUUGGCGAUCAUGAACCGGAGUUAGUCAUUAACGAGGAGUCCUUUGGCAGUAAUUGUGAAUAUCGCUACUUAAUGAGUGACUGCAUCGGAUACGGAGCAAUCGGUCAAGUAUACAAAGCAACAAUUACAGUACCAGGAAACUUUUCCGGGAAAAAUAUGGUGGCUGUCAAAGUCGUUCACCUGGAUAAUCGAAACCGUUAUCUGCAAUCGAACCAAAAUUGGCCGAAACUUCGCAAUCGACUGGUGACGAUAGUCAACUUUCGCAAUAAAAGCUUGCUUGCCUACCAUAAAUUUAGCGUUUUCAAAGCGACAUCAGGAAUACCUUACUUCGAACUGAUGAUGGAUUACUGCGAAGGUGAUCUUGAGAAGUUGCUCAAUCGACUGAGAACCGGCAUUGUGCCUCCGGAAGAGUCCCUUCAGUUCACCACGGCUAUUCGUUACGCACUGGAUAUCACAAACGGCAUAAAUUUUCUGCACCAAAAUAAAAUCAUUCAUGGCGAUCUGAAACCAAAAAACAUUCUUGUCAAGGAAACAUCAAGCCGUCACAAGCGGCUCCUGAUUGGCGAUUUGGACGAGCAUUGGCAGAUGACUGGAACGGGUAACCCGCUUAAACGACGUUCCGCAUUUUCAUGGAACAAUCCGUUAUUUACCUCCAGAAAUGUUCAAAAGAUUCAGAACAACAUCACAAGAAAUCGUUGAAGAAAGAAACAUAAACACAGGACGCAAAAUGGAUAUCUGGAGUCUGGGUUGCAUAAUGCUGGAUUUGGCAGACUGCAUCGCGAAAAACGACGAGAAAUGGUUGGAGAAAAAGGAGUGUGAGCAAUCGGAAAAAAUUAUGGCCGGGAAGGGCAUUGCGGACCAUGUUUUCGAAGAGAAGCUGGUGAAUGGUUUCGUCCCGUUCGUGCCGGAUUUCAUUCCAGACUAUUUUUCCAGCUGCAUUCGCCAGUGUUUACGUUCAGCAAGCGAAGAACGACCGUCGGCCGAACAGCUCCUGAAACUGUUGAAGGAAGCUGAUAAGAAGGUGCCGAAGGAGCUGUUUGUCUUUUUUCACGGUCAACGGGCAAUUCAGUACUCACCAAUGUUUAUGAAUUCGUUUGAACCGCUAACCGGCACACUUCGGCCGUUGUUGUUUCACGAGAGUUUGAAGAACAUGCAUUUUCGUCACGGUAUAUUCACAUUGGGCAAUGCUAUUGUCUGCCGAGCACAAGAUAAAACGAACAGUGAAAAGCAUACAAUCGAACUGGACAUUGUCCAAGAGAGCUGGCGCACAACGACAACCGACAGGGCAGGAUUAGGGAUUUCUGGAAAAUUUGCGGUUAACGUUAACGAUCAGAUCUACUUUUGGAAUGAAGAGGAUGUUCAAGCACCGUUCAAAAAGCUGGACGGCAGAAAUUUCUCGGUAUCUCCGCUUCCCAUGCCUCAUUGGAUCAGAAGGGUUGACCGGAUAGUUGGCAGCAAGUGCAAACUGUUUGUAUUUGGGACAUCUACCGACGAGAGGGUUCGAUUGGUGGAACGCUUCAAUACGACAACAAAGCAGUGGGGACCACCCGGUUCAGUUGCACCCCUGCCGGAUGACCGUGUCGGCUUCGCCGCCGUUGUUCUCAAUAAAGAGCUGUAUUUGCUAGGCGGUCAAACUAACCCCGUUUCUUCACACGACUUGCUAAAAUCAUGCGUCCGACUGGACCGUAAAACCAGCCAAUGGGUACAGGUGGGUGACCUUUUGCACGCCAGAGCCAACCACUGCGCGUUCGUUUAUCAAAAACAAGUGUACGUUUUCGGCGGACACGUGGAUGGUAAGGAAGGCCUUGCGCAAAUAAUGGAGGUGUACGAUGCGAAGACGUGUCAGUGGUCCACCUUUUCGCUGCCAGACAUGGAUGAUAUUGAUAUAGAUCCAAGCUUUAAUGUUUCUUAUGUCGUCAGAGUGGAUAUCAACGGCAGUCAGUCCCACUAAUUAGGCGCUGGCAAAUCUAGAAACUAUUUCUUUAAAAAAUCGCUUCUUCGCCUUCUGCUUUAAGUGACUUCCUGUAUUACUGGAGUUUCCUUGAAUAACUAUCAUGUUCCUGGAAAAAGACGCAUCGCUCUUAACCGAAUUAGGGGAAACUGUUUCCCAAAUAGUUUUAUCUGUGACAUUUUGACUGAAUUACUCCUUAUUUGACAGGAGCAUGUACAUUUCGUUGCGUUUGUGGUAGAUUUCACACUUACUUUGUAUUAC